AACGAACGCUGGCGGCAUGCUUAACACAUGCAAGUCGAACGAGACCGCCGGGCUUAGGGGCGCACGUGGGGGUACCGCGUGGGAACUUGCCCUUAGGUACGGUAUAACUCCCUGUAAGGGGUGUUAAUAACGGUGAAUGUCUUAGGGCAAAAGAUCGUUGGCUGUGGGCUGGGCGCUGGUUGGAUUGGGCGGUUGGUAGGGGAAAAGCCAACCAUGGGGACGAUGCUUGGCUGGUGGGGGAGGAUGCCCCGCCGCACUGGGACUGCGGCACGGCCCAGACUCCUACGGAGGGCAGCAGAGGAGAAUAUUGGACGAUGGGCGCAGGCGUAGUCCAGCAGUGCCGCGUGAGUGAUGAAGGCCUUAGGGUUGUAAAGCUCUUUUAGCCGAGAUGAUAGUGACGGUACCGGGAGAAGAAGCACCGGCUAACUACGUG
rnacentral:rRNA from 1 species